GCGGGAAUUCGAUUUUCCGGUUGAUCCUGCCGGACCUGACUGCUAUCGGAUUGGUACUAAGCCAUGUGAGUCGUUGUAGCAAUACAAGGCAUACGGCUCAGUAACACGUAGUCAAUCUAACCUAUGGACGGGGAUAACCUCGGGAAACUGAGGAUAAUACCCGAUAGAUCAUAAUGCCUGGAACGGUUUAUGGUUCAAAUGAUUCGUCGCCGUAGGGUGGGACUGCGGCCUAUCAGCUUGUUGGUGAGGUAAUGGCCCACCAAGGCUAUUACAGGUACGGGCUCUGAGAGGAGUAGCCCGGAGAUGGGUACUGAGACACGGACCCAGGCCCUAUGGGGCGCAGCAGGCGAGAAACCUUUGCAAUGUGCGCAAGCACGACAAGGUUAAUCCGAGUGUUUCCUGCUAAAGGAAUCUUUUGUUAGUCGUAAAAUCACUAUUGAAUAAGGGGUGGGCAAGUUCUGGUGUCAGCCGCCGCGGUAAAACCAGCACCUCAAGUGGUCAGGAUGAUUAUUGGGCCUAAAGCAUCCGUAGCCUGUUCUGAAAGUUUCCGGUUAAAUCCAUUAACUCAACUAAUGGGCUGCCGAAAAUACUGCAGAACUAGGGAGUGGGAGAGGUAGACGGUACUCGGUAGGAAGGGGUAAAAUCCUUUGAUCUAUUGAUGACCACCUGUGGCGAAGGUGGUCUACCAAAACACGUUCGACAGUGAGGGAUGAAAGCUGAUGGAGCAACCGGAUUAUAUACCCGGUAGUCCCAACUGUAAACGAUGCACACUCGUGAUGCCCUGGCUUGUGGCCAGAGCAG
rnacentral:rRNA from 1 species